UACUCCUACGGGAGGCAGCAGUGGGGAAUAUUGGACAAUGGGCGCAAGCCUGAUCCAGCCAUACCGCGUGGGUGAAGAAGGCCUUCGGGUUGUAAAGUCCUUUUGUUGGGAAAGAAAUCCAGCUGGCUAAUACCCGGUUGGGAUGACGGUACCCAAAGAAUAAGCACCGGCUAACUUCGUGCCAGCAGCCGCGGUAAUACGAAGGGUGCAAGCGUUACUCGGAAUUACUGGGCGUAAAGCGUGCGUAGGUGGUCGUUUAAGUCCGUUGUGAAAGCCCUGGGCUCAACCUGGGAACUGCAGUGGAUACUGGACGACUAGAGUGUGGUAGAGGGUAGCGGAAUUCCUGGUGUAGCAGUGAAAUGCGUAGAGAUCAGGAGGAACAUCCAUGGCGAAGGCAGCUACCUGGACCAACACUGACACUGAGGCACGAAAGCGUGGGGAGCAAACAGGAUUAGAUACCCUGGUAGUCCACGCCCUAAACGAUGCGAACUGGAUGUUGGGUGCAAUUUGGCACGCAGUAUCGAAGCUAACGCGUUAAGUUCGCCGCCUGGGGAGUACGGUCGCAAGACUGAAACUCAAAGGAAUUGACGGA
rnacentral:rRNA from 1 species